AUUGGUGUAGUGGCAACAUAAACGCCUUCCAAGCGUUUGCCUCGGGUUCGAUUCCCG
rnacentral:tRNA from 16 species